AUAACGACUCUCGGCAACGGAUAUCUCGGCUCUCGCAUCGAGCAGAAUCCCCGUGAACCAUCGAGUCUUUGAACGCAAGUUGCGCCCGAAACCUUUGGUCGAGGGCACGUUUGUCUGGGUGUCACA
rnacentral:rRNA from 1 species